GGCCAGCAUCAGUUUUGGUGGUAGGAUAAAUCCAUAGGAACGUGGCUUCCUNGGGAAGUGUUAUAGCCNAGGGGAAUACUGCCAGCUGGGACUGAGGUCUGCGCAUCUUGNCAAGGAUGCUGGCAUAAU
rnacentral:rRNA from 1 species